UUUGUCAGGUGUCCAGGGCCUCUAAGACUGCAUCUCUGCCCUCAGCAUCCAAGGAAACCAGCAGCAGAAGAGCAAUCUGGAAAGGAGAACCAUGUCACUCCUUAAUGCAGAGCCCCAGACCCCUGUGUCCAAUGGCCUGGCUACACACCUGGAGAUUGAGUUCUCUGAUGCGAUGUCCUUUGGGGUCCGGACUGUUGUAAAGGUUCGUCCAGCUCCACGCCCACCCACUGGCCGCUGGCGAACUCCGUGGUCCCGCAGAACCGCAGUGUGCCCGUCUGGAAAAACAAGGGAGGAUGUGGCUUGGGGAGGCCUUAGGAGGCUAUGAUAGAUCACUGGCUCACAGGCAGUGUGGUGAGGGAGAUGAGGGAGCUCCAGACUCAAAUCUCAACUCAGACAUCACCAUUUACUGGCCAUAUGACAUAACCUCACUGUGCCUUAAUGUGCUCAUCUGCAAAAUAGGAACAGAAACUGUGCCCACCUUAUAGGAUUGUUAUAGAGCUGCCCUGUUCAAUGCAAUAAAUAGCCACUAGCCAAUAGAUGACAAUUUAACUAAAAUUAAAUGAAUUACACCAGCCACAUUUCAAGUGCUUAAUAGCCACGUGUGCCUUGUGGUUACUUCAUUGGACAGCAUAGUUACAGCAACAUUUAAAGCUCUCAGAUUGGCCAGGUGCUGAGUAAGGGGUUAGUGAGUGUUGACUACUAUUAUCAUGUAACUUUGGUCCUGGGACCUUCUGGGUUAGUUUCAUCUGGAAAAUUGAGAUAACAGUCCACCUCCUAGGCUUUGUCUGGUUGAAACACUUUUAAUAUAUGUCAAGUUGCUUAGU